AGUGGGCCAGACGAUCGCCGGUAGUUGCUUUAGGGCGCUACGGGAGGAAAGUCCGGGCUUCAACGGGCAAGGUGCCAGUUAACGACUGGGCGGCGUGAGCCGACGGCAAGUGCAGCAGAGAGUAGACCGCCGAUGGCUGGCAACAGCACAGGUAAGGCUGAAAGGGUGCGGUAAGAGCGCACCGUGCGACUGGUAACAGUUCGUAGCAAGGUAAACCCCACCUGAAGCAAGACCAAAUAGGCUCCCUAUAGGCGUGGCCCGCGCUGGGAGCGGGUAGGUUGCUUGAGCGGCGCGGUGACGCGUCGCCUAGAUGAAUGAUCGUCCUCGACAGGACCCGGCUUAUCGGCCCGCUCA
rnacentral:RNase_P_RNA from 1 species